AGGCCCCGGCGAGAUUCGAACUCGCGAUCGCUUGUUUACUAGACAGGCGCUUUAAUCAAUUAAGCACGGCGUUUCGCCACUUUUUAUGUAAUUCACAGAGAGUAUGUCUCACUUAUAACAAUAUCUCGUUAAAAGUAGCGACACACAGGCACCGGCGAGAUUCGAUAUCCUGUUUACUAGACAGGCGCUUUAACCAAAUAAGCCACGGCGCC